GAUAAAAUACUUUCAGGGAUCAUUUCUACAGUUCUUUGCUAGACAAGAUUCUCUGAAUGUGCAGAGCACCCGAAACCACGAGGAGGAGGUGCAGCCUUCUAUCCUGAGCAGGAAGCCGGCUCUGGGUGUUGCUUCUGCAGCUGCCCUUAGCCUGUGAUGAUCUUCCUUCCCUUCCUCUGGGAGAGUAAGAGGGAGAGAACACCAUCUGAGUGGU